GAUGAACGCUGGCGGCGUGCCUAAUACAUGCAAGUCGAGCGAACAGAUGAGGAGCUUGCUCCUCUGACGUUAGCGGCGGACGGGUGAGUAACACGUGGAUAACCUACCUAUAAGACUGGGAUAACUUCGGGAAACCGGAGCUAAUACCGGAUAAUAUAUUGAACCGCAUGGUUCAAUAGUGAAAGACGGUUUUGCUGUCACUUAUAGAUGGAUCCGCGCCGCAUUAGCUAGUUGGUAAGGUAACGGCUUACCAAGGCAACGAUGCGUAGCCGACCUGAGAGGGUGAUGGGCCACACUGGAACUGAGACACGGUCCAGACUCCUACGGGAGGCAGCAGUAGGGAAUCUUCCGCAAUGGGAGAAAGCCUGACGGAGAAACGCCGCGUGAGUGAUGAAGGUCUUCGGAUCGUAAAACUCUGUUAUUAGGGAAGAACAAAUGUGUAAGUAACUAUGCACGUCUUGACGGUACCUAAUCAGAAAGCCACGGCUAACUACGUG
rnacentral:rRNA from 1 species